rnacentral:rRNA from 1 species
UACGGGGGGGGCAAGCGUUGUUCGGAAUUACUGGGCGUAAAGGGCUCGUAGGUGGCCAACUAAGUCAGACGUGAAAUCCCUCGGCUUAACCCGGGGGAACUGCGUCUGAUACUGGAUGGCUUGAGAUUGGGAGAGGGAUGCGGAAUUCCAGGUGUAGCGGUGAAAUGCGUAGAUAUCUGGAGGAACACCGGUGGCGGAAGGCGGCAUCCUGGACCAACACUGACGCUGAGGCGGCGAAAAGCGGUGGGGAGCCAAACAGGGAUUAAGAAA